rnacentral:sRNA from 1 species
GUGGGAGGUGAAAACUAUUUAUGAUCAUCAUUUUUAGACCAGCACGCUUGGCCUUCUGUGGCUGACAAGAUCAGCCGCUGUUCUGUUGACCCAAAACGAGCUCUUAGUGACGGCCAAGCACAGAGCUGCUCAGCGAUUAACCUGCCUGUGCAGGCACCUGAGAGGCUGAGCAAAGUCGGACUUCGGUCGCUGUGGUCAUCUGGAUAGCUUCUGGUUCAUGUUCAUGGGCGCAGAUGACUCGGGAAAUUAUACGCGAAUUGAACCUACAAAGUACGAGUAUAAGGGAGACUGCGGGUUCCUCCCGGUUGCAUUUGGGCAAGGCUGUGCUCCAACAGAAGCUGAAGACCAGAAAUUGCCCUAGAAGGUGCAUUAAAUCGCUCUGGUAGACGUUUGCAAUUUCUUGCCAAUCACGAAUGUUAUUGUUAUUAUAAUACUACCACAAGGCCCAUGAU